CCGACCUUAGCUCAGUUGGUAGAGCGGAGGACUGUAGUUUGAGUGUAGACUGAAAUCCUUAGGUCGCUGGUUCGAAUCCGGCAGGUCGGA
rnacentral:tRNA from 1 species